UUUUGCAGAAGAGGAGCACUACCCAGGUAGGUGUUUUGUGGAGCCACAACUCCGAUACAAAUCACUGAGGGGGAGUAGUGCCGAGGUAGAUCAACGUUGUGGUUUUGAUCUGUCGGUUGACUUGGGUUGACUCCCAUCAACUGUCAUCAGCUCAGUCUGGUGAAGAGCUUCUGAGGUA
rnacentral:ncRNA from 1 species